GAAACGCCGCCCCUUAACUCUGAAGUUCCGCGAGUUUCUCUUUGGGCGCGGGAGGAUGAUCAACGCCGCCAAGUGGGGAAAGCAUGAACAUAGUCCCCCAUUACCACCACUUAUGCAGUCAAGUUUUCCACCUUUGGGGACAUCACAGGGGUCAGCACAUCCGGAGUCAGUAGAUGAGUCUCACCCUGGGAAAAACCACCUUCGUGAUCAUGGUAUCUUCCCUGCCAGAGAGAAACCAAUCAGCUUCAUUUUCAACUUCUUCUAUGACUCCAGGGGAGUCACUUUGCAUCUUGUGACAAAUGAAGAUAUUACCUGAAAAAAAAAAAUCACAGGAUAGAUAAGUUGAUGCACAGGGGGAAAGCGAAAUUCCCAGGAGUAAGACGUGCAAGAAGGAGGCCAACCUUGCAUUUCAGGGCUGAGUUCCCUAAACUGUGUGCUUGAAGGAAGUUCUCCCCUUGCAGACACACUGCUGAGUGAUAAGGAAGCACCUAGACUCCACUAUGACAGACUUGGUUCUGAGGCCUAUGAAAUGUUGAUGGGAAGAAGAGAAGCAGGAAAAUCUAUCUAUUCAAAUUUGCAAGAGGUGGAAACUUUAUUCACCUUCCUGGAUAGACUAUUCCAUUGUCAAAGUAAAGCUAAGGCCAUGGAAAAUGAGUUAUUUGAGAGUCUCUCGCUCCAAGGAAGAACAUGCUGGCCUAAUUGUCCCCUCAGUCAGGGGAGAGAAUUGUAAAAAAAACACUUAAACGGGCCUAAGUAAAGGUCCAGCACAUUAUUUAUUUAAGACUGAAUUAGGAUUGAGUCAUUCCAACUCUGAAAAAAGAAUGUUGUUGGAUUCCUAUAUAUUUGAUGGGACCGUCCCAUUGAAAACCAUUGUGAAGUCUGGUUUCCCAAGCACAAAAUGACACUUUCACUGUCAGUCUUUCUAGGAAUCUGGCAGAAUCCAGGACCAGGAUUAGCCUUAUUUUUUAAGCGACCUUAGGCUAACAGUGGCUCUCUGGGCCUCCAGACAAUUGGCCAGGGACUCUGAAAGCCGGAAACAAAGUUGAGAGAACUCCAGGCUGGUGGAGAAAAACAGGUGGCCUUCAUCACCAGAAUGUGCCCCAUAGAAGCAACAAAGCAGCAAGCGAGGUUCUUAAAUGAGGGCCUGUGGGCCUCGUCAAGAUCUGGAGGAGUCAUCUGCAACUUACUGCUGAGUGAGAAGGCUAGGCAGUGUCUUUAAGGUCCUGCCAGCUUUAACAUUGUAUGCUUUCUUUUUCUUUUGUUCAAUCUCUCACCACAACUGGAAGUGUUGCCUCAACUACACAGGAGAAAGUUUGCAGUAACUUAGAGAAAACAUUAUUUUAAUCACCAGCGUAUGUUCUCUGGCACCCUGGACAAAUCCGUCAGCAGUGGCAACACUGACCAGGUCCAGAUUGGGGCCGCUGCAGUGGAUGUGGAUCCAUUGAAACCAGGGGUCUUCAGUGCUCCUGA